rnacentral:lncRNA from 1 species
AGACUAAAAUGUGAAAUAUUAAUUGCAUUUUUGGUCCCUAUUGAUAGCCGUCUCUGCAUCUACACUCUUGGUAAUUGAGACUUUGUGGCUGCUCGUUUGAAGAGAUAGAAUCUAAUUCCCUAGCCUUGUCUCUGGACUGGCCUUAUGAUUCUCUUUAACCAUAGAAUGUGGGAGAAGUGAUGAUGUGCCUAUUCUAAGUCUAGGCCUCAAGAAGUCUUGAAAGAUUCUGUUCCCUCUUGGUUAGUCCACUGGAGGAUGAGAGACCCACGGCCCAAUAACCUCCAUUGCCUCGGCCAACAGACAGUCAACUUCCAGUCUCACCAUUGCCUAGACUACCACAGGGACCACAGACACAUAACGGUGCCCAGCCAAGACAAGAAGAAACAUCCAGCUGAGUCCAGCCUAAAUUGCUGAUCUGCAGAAUUGUAAGCUAGAUAAAUAGUUGUUGUUUAAAGACACUACGUUUUGGGAUGGUUUGGGGAAAACUUGGGAGGAAGACAUACUAUACCACAUGGUCCUUUCCUUUUUCUGUGGAUGGCAAAAAGAUGCAUCACUUCCCGGAGCUUAUGAUAGAAGAUGCUCCUUCGCCAGUGUGAGACACUUAAAAGGACAAUGAUUUGUGCAGGGAACUAACCCUGUGUGCUACGUGUCCUUUUGCUCCAUUUUACUGAUGUGACAAUUGGAGCAGAAUAGUUUAUGUGGCAAAUUUUCCCAGCAUUUAUUUGCACUGCUUACUACAUUCACAUUCUAGUUUACAAAUCUUGACAAAGACAACUGAAUAGGUGUUUUGCAUGAAUGUACUUAUUUUGUAUUGAAGUAUGACACACAUGCAGAGAAGUGACAUUGUCAUAAGCAAAUGGCUUGAUGGCUUUUACAAACUGAAUGUAUGUAUAACCAACAUCGAGAACUAGAAGCAGCUUUUUCAGCCCCUCCUUCCUGAAACUUUUCCUCUCCUUCCACCUUGACCAAGUGUAAUCUCUCUCCUGACCUCUGGCAGAAUAGGUUAGUUUUGCUUAUUUUUAUUUUUA